UUUAUCGAUCUUGCAUUGCACUUUGUGAGAUUAGAUUUAGAACCGUUACAUGGAGUCCGAACUGUAGUGAGCCUAAUGAACAAAACGGGAGUUUCCCGGGGCGUUCGGGCGCGUCUACACACCCAAGCCGCUUGGAGAAGUAAUCCCCCUCCACAAUGAAGCCACCAAACAAGGGUUCGUGGGACCCACCUCCUUACUACUCCAAUCCCACUCCCAAAUCUCCCAAACAAACAUGACCUCAAGGAAUUUGCUAAUUUCAUUCUUGCAUCAAGCACUAGGUAGGAUGUCCUUGGUAGCUUUGUUCUAUGGUAAGACAUGUUAUGUUCCUUUUAUUUGUGUAUCACACAUAUUAAUAUUUGGUCCUUUUUGGAGAGUUCAAACAACUCAACUUUUUAUUGGGUUUUUUUAAUGAUGUUUAUCUUCCAUUUGUUUUAUGUGUAAUAAGCAUUUGAAUUUUUGUUAUUAAUAUUGAUUGCAAUUUCUGCACUGGUUGGGUUUCCUUAUCAUUCACACACAGGUUUGAUUCUUGACUUUUUUAUUUUAUUUUUCCCUCCAAAAUACUAUGUAUAUUUCUUGAGAAAAGAUUGUCUGCUUGCUAACAAUGUCUAUAGCCUGAUGAUCAAGUCUGUUAGAAUUAGUGGAAGAUUGAUCUUGGCUCAAACCACUUUAAUCAACUAUUAUGUGUCCUGCAGCCCUUGGAUGAGUUAUUUGGGCUUUAGUGUCUGUGUUUUCUGCUGGUGUUGUAGCUGUGUUUUCUACUGGUGCUUUGGCUGUGGUUGCAGCUGUGUUGUGUUUUCAUGAAAUUUUCAAUGACAUUUUAUUCAUGUUAUUUGUUCUUAUCCAAUGCAGGCUCAAAUAUCGAAGAAAGGAAAGAAGAAAAAGAAGAAGUAGAUAGGACAAACUCAAUGAAAAAAGGCCUCUUUUUUGUUGUUCAAAUAUCAAAAAAAUGAAAGAAGAGGGGGAAGAAGUAGAUAAGACAAACUCAAUGAAAAAAUGCCUCUUUUUUGUUAUUUUUGUUCGACAGAAAAACCGUUCAUCUUCUAAAGCACCAGAUAAUCCAAUCAAGGUAUGUAAAUAUCCCUAUCAUAUUUGCCAAAUAGAAUUACCUUCCUUCAUUUUUUAGUCCAGUCUGAUGGAAUUUAAUUCGGAAUGCAUUUCACAAAGUGCCUAAUUUAGAGCAGUCCCUGAAAUCAUGGUAUAUGGUCUAAAGAAAAUUCAGGGUAUCAGAAUACUGAAACACCUAAGUUGAUGUCAUAUUUUGGACAACAUGUGAAAAUAGAUGAUCUAAAGGUUUAUUCUAAUUGAUAAUAGAUUAUAAGAUGCAGCAAUUGUCAUGACCCACUCCCCGUAUCCG